UUGAACGCUGGCGGCAGGCCUCACCCAUGCAAGUCGAGCGGAUGAAGGGAGCUUGCUCCUGGAUUCAGCGGCGGACGGGUGAGUAAUGCCUAGGAAUCUGCCUGGUAGUGGGGGAUAACGUCCGGAAACGGGCGCUAAUACCGCAUACGUCCUGAGGGAGAAAGUGGGGAUCUUCGGACCUCACGCUAUCAGAUGAGCCUAGGUCGGAUUAGCUAUUUGGUGGGGUAAAGGCCUACCAAGGCGACGAUCCGUAACUGGUCUGAGAGGAUGAUCAGUCACACUGGAACUGAGACACGGUCCAGACUCCUACGGGAGGCAGCAGUGGGGAAUAUUGGACAAUGGGCGAAAGCCUGAUCCAGCCAUGCCGCGUGUGUGAAGAAGGUCUUCGGAUUGUAAAGCACUUUAAGUUGGGAGGAAGGGCAGUAAGUUAAUACCUUGCUGUUUUGACGUUACCAACAGAAUAAGCACCGGCUAACUUCGUG
rnacentral:rRNA from 1 species